AACGAACGCUGGCGGCAUGCCUAACACAUGCAAGUCGAACGAGACCUUCGGGUCUAGUGGCGCACGGGUGCGUAACGCGUGGGAACCUGCCCUUAGGUUCGGAAUAACUCCCCGAAAGGGGUGCUAAUACCGGAUAAUGUCUUCGGACCAAAGAUUUAUCGCCUUUGGAUGGGCCCGCGUUGGAUUAGCUAGUUGGUAGGGUAAAAGCCUACCAAGGCGACGAUCCAUAGCUGGUCUGAGAGGAUGAUCAGCAACACUGGGACUGAGACACGGCCCAGACUCCUACGGGAGGCAGCAGUGGGGAAUAUUGGACAAUGGGAGAAAGCCUGAUCCAGCAAUGCAGCGUGAGUGAUGAAGGCCUUAGGGUUGUAAAGAUCUUUUACCCGGGAUGAUAAUGACAGUACCGGGAGAAUAAGCUCCGGCUAACUCCGUG
rnacentral:rRNA from 1 species